rnacentral:rRNA from 1 species
CGUGCGAAGGUAGCGUAAUCACUUGUUCUUUAAAUGGGGACUAGUAUGAAUGGCAUCACGAGGGUUAAACUGUCUCCUUUUUCUAAUCAGUGAAACUAAUCUCCCCGUGAAGAAGCGGGGAUUAUUUUAUAAGACGAGAAGACCCUAUGGAGCUUUAAACAAAUUUACACCUGCUUUAAUAUAUCUUACCUCCUGAAUACUCACACAAAUAAUAGCAUGACUGUUAAAUAGUUUUCGAUUGGGGUGAUCAUGGAGAAAAAAACAACCUCCACGACGAUAAGGGAAUAUUCCUGAGCUAAAAGCCACAACUUUAAGCACUAAAAAAUUAACGCACUUUGACCCAAUUACUUGAGCAACGAACCAAGUUACCCUAGGGAUAACAGCGCAAUCCACUUCAAGAGCUCCUAUCGACAAGUGGGCUUACGACCUCGAUGUUGGAUCA